AGGAUACGGUUAACGGAGCGAAAGCGACGUUCAACCUCAAAAGAAGCAGAGGGGGCUUAGUGGUGGGGUGACUGCGUACCUUUUGUAUAAUGGGUCAGCGACUUAUAUUCUGUAGCAAGGUUAACCGCAUAGGGGAGCCGAAGGGAAACCGAGUCUUAACCGGGCGUUAAGUUGCAGGGUAUAGACCCGAAACCCGGUGAUCUAGCCAUGGGCAGGUUGAAGGUUGGGUAACACUAACUGGAGGACCGAACCGACUAAUGUUGAAAAA
rnacentral:rRNA from 1 species